rnacentral:lncRNA from 1 species
AAAAAAUCCUCACAAUAUGAACAGCAUAAGGAUUUGAGGACUUCUCUGUUCCACCAUCAUUACAAAUUUUGCAUCAGGUCAUUGCAGAUCUUGCUUUGGGUAUUUAGUAUGCAACAUCUCUGCAGCGAACCUCAUUUAUCAUUUUUUAUCAAUGCUUAUAUAUGAAACUGCAGAAUUCCUUUGGUCUGGGCCAAACAGGAAUGAAUGGGAAGCCUUUCUUCUAUCCCCCUGUUCUUCCAACUCAGGGAAGUCCUAGGAAGGAAGCUUCUACUUCUCUUAGCUAGUAGUUUCCUCCUGUGGGAGAUACUGGAUGUCUAGAAGCUCAUAUUUGUUUGGCCAUAUUUUAAAUUGCAGAGUUAUUUUUGGCUUUUAAAGUUGUCCAUUGCCUCCAUCCCAUUUCUCUUUCACUGCCUUCCUCAUGAAUCUUUAAGAGGACCAAGAGCUAUCUUCAGUGUCUCUCUGCAGGUGGUAAGCUUCUCUGCUUAAAAGUGGGUAAGAAUACGGACAAGAAAUCUACUCUCCAGAGAAAUUCUAACCUUGGGUAGAUCCUAAAAUCUGUAUAAAAUGGCGUGGUUAUUGUAGUCUUAAACUCAAGUUAUAUUUUCUAGUCCAGCUUUGACCAUAGAGCACAUACAUUGAGGCUAUUGGAUGUUGGAGGCCACAAAUAGAGUUGGUCCCAGUUAAGAAGCAACAACAAAGGAAGGUACACUUAGCUAGAGAAAAAGUAAGGUCUUGGGAAAGAGUUUUUUCUUGCUGCAUCUUAUUAUUCAUUAACUUAGAGGCAACCUGAUUAACCAUUAAUCUAUUUGUCAUUUUUAUAGUUUCAUCUUUUCCAGCAUGUCAAAUGAUUGGAAACAUGCAGUAUAUAGGCUUGUCAAAUGGACUUCUUUCUCUUAGAAAUAAGCACUUAAGAUUCAUCUACAUCUUUUCAUAGCUUUGAAGCUCCUUUAUGCUUACCAUUGAAUAAUACUAUAUUGUAUGGAUGUACCACUUUUUUUCCUGUUUACAUAUUGAAGGACACUUUAGUUGCUUCCAGGUUGGAGUUAUUAUGAAUACAACUACUAUAAAUAUUUGUAUGCAGUUUUUUUAUGUAAGGACACACGUUUUAAAAUAAGUUGAGUAAAUGCAUAGGAGCAUGAUUACCUGAUGCCAUAGCAAGAUUUUUUUUUUUUAGUUUUAUAAGAAACUACAAAAUUGUCUUUCAAAAUAAUUGCUUCAUUUUGCAUUCCCACCAGCAAAAAAUGAGAGUUUCUGUUACUUAGCAUCCUGGCCAGCAGUUGGCACUGUCCAUUAUUUGGAUUCUGGCCAUUCACAUAGGUAUGUCGUAGGAUUUUUUAUGAAAGAAAAAUAUACAUACAAUUGUUGGUUGCCCAAUGAGACCUUGUUCUACUAGUUUUUUUAGAAUAAAGGCUUAGAAAGCUCUAUAUCAAAAUGUCUAGCUAUGGAUACAUGCCAGGCUUGUGGAAGUCACUUCUAGGAUUUUGCCAGGAUCUUGACAUAAACUGGAAAAAUCCAGCUUCUUUCUCCUCAGCUAACCCAGACUUGAGUUUAAAAACUCAAUGGCAUAUCAACACCAGGAAGGUAUAUUCUUCAAUGAAGUGCACCCCAUAAGGGACAAUAAUGGCGGGUAGCAUGGCAAACUGGGAUAGGCAUGCCUUGUCCAAAUUUGGAAUAAUUACUCUGUUCCAACUUUUUGUUGCCACAGGAAAUCAAUCAUAGUAGGAAUAAAUCUAUUUAUUUUCUAAGAUAUUUAGUAAUCUGAAUUUUGUAUGAAAUCUCUUGAUGUUUAAAUGUGGGAUCUAAUUAAAAAUACCUUUGAAAUACUCUUCAGGGAAAACAGAAACUCAAGCCUCUAGGCUGCACCACUGAUCGAGCCAUUCGUAAAUAAAGCAUAGCUUACACUAGAAAAUAUUUUUAAAAGGGUUUUCAAUCUUGGAUGUUUUGUGGCAUGGAUUAUAUUUUAAAAAAUAGUUCUGAAAAAGUACCAGAGAAAUGCAAUGGACAUCAGAUAGAAAAACGUUUCAGUGCUAUAAGCAAGAGAUUAUAUCACUUGGACUAGAGUUUUGGCAGUGCAGAUGGAUGGAAUUAAACAAUUUUGUGAACUUUGAGGAGUAGAUUCAUUUGAUGAUGGGUCAGAUAAAGAUAGGCUAGAUUAGAGGAGGGACAUUUGUCAAAAUUAAUUCUACAUGUUUUUACAAUGAACUAAGAGGAUAGAUAUAAUGUUUACUGAGAUAUAGAUAGAUAUAAUGUUUACAGAAAACUGGAAGAGAAGCAAGAGGAAAUUUCAUUAAAAUGGAAGAAAGAAAAGGUAUAUUGUAUUAUUAUCAUCUCCAUUUUACAGGUAAGGUAACUGAGAACUUGAGAGACUAAGUAACUUGCCAAAAGUCACACCAAAAAGUAUAUGUAUGCACAUAUGUAUAUAUGCAUAAGGAAAUCAGACUCAGGACUUCUGAUUCUUAACUCAGGAUUUCCAUUGGCGUCUCAUGAUCCCUAAUGUGUCUUCAUUGUUUUGACCUGAAGUGAGUAAUAGAAGGAGUUGCUGAAUGAUUUUUUUUAGGUGCAAUGCUUGGUGGAAAACAUAGUGUCCCAUUGACCUCAGAUGGCCUAUAAACUGGAAAGGUAAUGAAGAAUCAUAAGUACUUAUCCACAGCCAAGUUUACAGAAGGAAAUGAUAUUAAUGGAGUGAAGAUUUACAGGUUUAUAAACCUACUCUAUGCUGUGAAGGAAAGGAAAGAUAGUGAAGAAAGUGAUAAAAUAAUUGCCUGAGGUAUUAAACUGCUAGUGCAAGACAACUGUAAGUCAUGUUUUUAUUUAUCUGUACUGAUGAAUGUCUAAGAUGUUUUAGAGAUUAACAUUGGGCCUCUUCUGCACUGUCUGGCUUCUACAUUUCUAAGUUAUAAUCAGAUAAUUGCUCUCAUGAUUGGUAUGGGGACUGAUAGGGACAAAAAUGUGCUAUAAGAGAGAGAUUUACAAAGCAGCUGAAUGGAAGAUGAGGAAAUAAGUAGGAAAAGUCCCUAAUCUGAGAAGUGGCUUCUCUUCUGGUGUCUUUUCUGGAAACAUGUAGCUAGCCUGAUUCCCUAAAGUGAGUGCUUCAGACAUUGUAGAGAGUCUCUCUGCCACUAAUACGGGUAGUAAGUCUAGACAUCUCACUCAGCAGGUGGGUAUAAGAGCUGAUUUGAGUUUAUUGUAAAUAUCUACUCAAUAAUGAACGAGAGUGCUUCAGCAGGAAGAGAUGAGAGGAGAUGAUUCUUUUUUUUCAGAUACAUACUUUCAUCAGCUAUUUGAAGGUGGAGGGUGAGCUCCUAAGACUGUGGAUUGAUUGAUGUCCAGAAAUCAGGAAAGAUAGCUACUUUGGAAAUGAACCGUAUGCCUGCAUCCUAGCAAAGGAGAGGGAGAGAGAGGGAGGGAGGAGCAAGGGGAAGAGGAAACUGUUGCCUAAAAUGAAAUAAAUAGUUGAGAGACAUUUCAAGAGAAGGAGUGUCUAAUACUUAAUUUGUCAUUAUUAUCAUAAUCAUGGAAAACAACUUCCCCCUGUGCCGGCUCCUCAAUGUCAGUAAAAUCUCCUAUUCAGCUUUGUUAGUUUUCUGGUGCUUCUUUAACAAAGUACCACAAAAGUGAGUGGCUAAAACGACAGAGAUUUAUUGUCUCACAGUUCUGGAGGAUAGAAGUAUAAAAUCAAAAGGUUUCAGAACCCACCUUCAAAGAGCUGUGAUGUUGAAUCUAUUUCAUUUCUCUCUCUUAGCUUCUGGUAACCUCAGGUAUUCCUUGGUUUGUAGGUGUUGAUUUUCCUAUGUUUUCACAUCAUCUUCCCUCUCUGUGUUAUUGUUUUGACCAUCUGCAAGGACUCUAUACUCAAAUGUCAUAAACUGGUACUAUGGGUUAGCGUUCCGAUAUCUUUUUUUUUCUUAGUGGAGGAGACAACACAGAAGAACAAUAAAAAUCUGAUCUGUAUCUUCUAUUUUUGUAUUCCUUCAUUUGUUCAGUGGUCCAUUUAUUGUUGGAGUAAGAUGAAGAGAUUGUGAUAUCAAGGAAAGGUGAUAUAUUCUACACCAGAGUUAACAUGUUGAAUAACAAGGGUAGCACUGAGGGGAUGAUGGUAUGGUUUAAAAAAAAAUAAGGAAAAAAGAAAUAAGCAAACUCCAGUGUACUCUCAGGCACUGGAGGGCAGGACCGUGAACUGUGCAUAGACACUGUACCAUGGAGGUGCUGCAAAGCUGCAGGAGCUAUGAGUGGGGGAAGGAAACCCAACUGAGAGGAAAUCCAUGAAGCUAUAUACACAAUCCGUCUGCAAUCUUGAAAUGUCAGAUAUCUCUCUACUUACUUAUACUUGCAUAUUACUUGAAGUCAGUAAUGUGAAUAGAAUCUGCAUAGAUUUUAUGAAAGCACGUUUUCUCAGAAGCAUGGCUAGAACUAUUUGCAUGUCAACCUUUUUUUAAAAAAAAAAACAAAACUAUGAACCAACUUAUCGAAGACCACUGAAUAUGUUUUAAAAGUAGAAUCCUGGAACUGUAAUGAGAAGUGUCUCUUUUUUUCUGACUAUGGGAAAUGAUUAUGGAUAUUUCUUAGGAAACUUUGCUUGUGCCAACAGAAUUCCGUUUGAAUCAUGUGGAAGCUAAGAUUUGGAAAGAAUGAGAAUACGCAAACACGCUGGGAAGCUGAGAUAUCUAUUUCCCUGGUAGUGAUCAAGCUCAUUGCCAGAGCUUCCCAAAUCUUUUCUGGAGCUAAAGACUCUAGAGAACGUAAUGUAGACAUCUCCUCUCCACAGUAGCAUUCUUCUUAGUGUUUGGAAGUAAGAGUUCCAGGAGAGAGUCCAGACUCCAAGGGUGAAGAAGAAUGUUGAGAGACAAAGCUGGGUUUCAAACUAGUGUCCUAGACAAAUGAAAAUAUAAGAAACUUUCCUUGGGUUUUGAAGAGACCCAGUAUGGAACUUAUCACCAUAGAGGAGAGGGUGGGAAGAACUAUCUCCAUAUUUAGUAAGAAAAUGAGGGUGGAAGUUUUCUAAUUGGUCAAAUGAGGAAGAUGGGAAGGCCAUCAUCUGUAUAGGUGGAAAAAAUUCCUAUUUUUCAUGACAUUAUGUUAUGUGGGAAACUCAAACUCCUUGGAAAUAUUGGAAAGCUAGGAAGUGACAAUCACACGGAGAAGGAUGUUUGAGCCAGUUUCAUUAGAAAUGGAAAAAGACAGGAUAUCUCACUUGAUAUCUGGGUUAAUCAAAUGUGGACUGUCCACUUGGUUGCCAUGUUUUAGUUAGUAACUGUCCUGAAGGGAGGCCAUCAGGAAAACCCAGAAGUAGAGAGAAUGACCCAGAACACUACCAUCAGGAUCUUAAGAAUUCAGUUCAGGAAAUAGGAUAUCCUCAUUUCUUUCCUGGAGAAGCCAAGUGCUGCUGUGGGAGGAGCUCAGAUGUUGCAGGGUCAAAACGUGGGUUUGAAUCCUAUUCCUGCCAGGCCAAUUAGUCUAGUAUUUGUGUCUCACUCUCCUCACCUGUAAAAUACAAGAUUUUUGUCAAAAUUAAUAUAUGUAUGUAAAGCUCAUGGCAAGUACUCAACUGUUGCUGAUAUCAUCUCAUUGUUUCUCCAGGGUGCCUUGCACAUAAUAAGAGUUCUGUAUGAUUUAUAAUAGCUUAAACAUGACACAUUUACCCUUGGGUGUACACUUGUUUGGGCUUGUCUCCAAAGUCUAGUCUAAGCAUCACUGUCCUCAGCGGUCCUGCUAUUUCCUUCUUUCUCCUCUCAGGACAGUCAAGUGUAGUGGUUCAGAGCGCAGGCUUAGGUAUUAACCUGCCUGCAUUUGAUUCUAGGUCUCCCACUUAUACUCUGUAUGUCCUGGACAAGUAUCUUUGCCUCUCUUUGUCUCAUUUUCUAUAUCUUUAAAAUGAAGAUUAUAACAAUCCUAGAAUCCUUUGAAAAGACGAAAUGGAUAGAUGUGAGUGCUCAAUAAAUUUUUAUUUUUGCUGUAGGUUUUCUUCAUACACUAAUCAACUAAGAGAUAGUUCCUUUGACAUCAAAGACAGAGGAGUGCCAGGGAGAGGGUGAACAUACAUAUUUCUCCCACACUGUGCUUAAAAAGCUACUGGAUUGAUCUGAACCCACCUCCCAUUUACAAAAGAGCUAUGGAGUACACUGUUUAUGAAAACUACUCGAGGUCUGAUGGAGGCCAAGCCAAACUGGCUCAUGGUAAGCCACCAUGCUCCAAUUAUUAUUCAUGUACUAAGAGUUUCCUGUAGGUCAGGGUCAAGCCUAAGUAUCCUGUCAUUCUCAGGAUAUUUAUGCAGUACAGGGUCAUAUUCAUAGAAUGAUCAUUCAUUCAUUCAUCAAAUAUUUAUUGAGCACUGAUCUUUCCAGGCAGCAAGUGUGUAGAAAAUGAGCUUGAGAAGCCAUAUUAGAGAAGGGUAGGAGUCAAAUGGGAAGGGACAGAGUCUCAUGUCCAUGUCUCAUUGUCCUUGUUCAUAACAAUGACAGUGAACAGAGUGGAAGUAGUUAUAGGAAAUGCAGCAUCCUGGACAAGCCACAUGCAGAUUCAUAAGAGAAUUCUGGGCAGUGAGUUUCUGCCUGGCUGGGGGUCAGGGGUGGGUCAUUGAUAAUGUUUCUUGAGGCUUACCUCCUUCUCACACAGACCACUUUGUCUUCUGUUUUAUUUAAGAUAGGAUGUAUGCCAAGAGGGGAAGCAAGGUUUAAGUACAGCUCAGAAUAGAAAGUGAGAUCUAUACUUGGCUGCAGGCCACUCUUGCUGCUCUUCCUUUGGGUGCUGCUCUCAUUGGCUGGGCUUCCUGUCUGCCAGGGUGGCCUCAAGGUUACAGCUCUCAGUUCCAACACUUGUUUACUUGCUGAAUGUUGAGUAGAGGAAUUGAGUGCAUGCUCUCCUUGCAUACCACCUUCCCACACUUUGGGGUCCUCUAAAUGAAUGCUAUCUAUAUUCUCCUCUUUUUGAAAACUGUUCUUUUUAAAAACUGUUCUCUAAAGAAAACAAAACAAAGAAACCUGUAAUCUCAUACCUGUGUAUAGACUUUGCUGACUUUAUGAUGGACUCUCACACUCAUUGUAUUUUUAUCCAUACAAGACUAAACCAAGUAGGGAAUUUAUAACUAUCUCCAUGGAUCACUGCUGUUUGCAAGCGCAGUGCUGUACAGAAACAUUCUUGUGCUAUCUCAGAUUGUGUUAUACUCAGAGUUGAAGACCCAAUAAAUGGUAGAGUCAUGACUGGAAACCAUAUUGCAUGCUUUCUACCCCAUUCUUCUUACUAACUACUCCAAGUCCUUGUCAGAAUAUUUUUAGACAGAAGAGAGAUGAAUGCACACCCUCACUGGCCCCAUUGAUUUAAUAGGUCCAGUUAGAAAAUAGCACCCUGAAGGGGUAUAAUCAGUCUUAGAAGAUAUUCCUACUACCUCUUGACUUAAGCGCACACCUUUCAAAUUCCUUAUUUAUAUUAUAACACAGUUGAUGGAGCCUCUUUUGUUUCUCCUGCCUAAGGGUAAUCCAUUCUUAAUAUUUCUCAGCUUAUUUUUCUCUGAGGUCCUCACUGUCUCCUGAUGUUGAUUCUUCCGCAUAUAGGGAAGGAGAAAAGAUAUAAAUUAAAUUAUCUCCUCUUCCCCUCCUCUGUAUACAAUAACAUCCUCUUUAUGGGACUAUUAUCAUCUGCAUUUUAACUCACAUGAAUUUUACCCAAUUUAAGCGUUUCCUCACUUAAAUUCUAUUUGCCCCUCCAGUUAUUACUAUAUCUCUUCCCUAUUAUAGCCAAAUUUUUGAUAGAAACUUUAUCUACUUCCUUGGUGACUCAUCCCGUACCUCUCUGUAUUCUGGAUUUGAUGCCUAAUAUUCCAGCUCAAGUGGCUUUUCUGAGGUUAUUACCUACUCCUGUGUUGAGGAGCCAGUGAGUACGUUUUAGUGUUUAUAUUACCUGAUCUCUCUGAAGCAUCAGUGGACCAGACCUCUCUUUGUGACAUCCUUGCAGAUCAUUUGUCUUCAAAUCUUCAUAUAGUUCUUCUUAUACACUUAUUGAAUGAAUGGUUUCUGAAUGGCACCUACAUGCCAGGUGCUAGUCUUGGAACCAUAGAUUUUGCCAUAUUUCAGUGCCUUGAUCUUUAAUUACAAGAUGAGUAUGUAUGGGGGUACUCAUGGAAAUUCAAAAGGAAAUAUCAGCUGGGUAAUGUAAUAAAGCCGACAUCUUUGUGGUUGUUUCUGUUCACAGAAGCUGAAAAUUUAUAUAUUGUCGGUGGGAAACUUUGGUGGCCCUUGUUAUGAAAACGAUGUAGAAUCUGCUUAAUCACCAAAUGGAAGGUUCCUAAUGUCACUCUUUACACUUUUCUCUAGGUUUUUAUCUUAAAUAUUCAUAAGCCUAAAAGAUGACUUUAUGUUGGAAUGAGAACUGUCACUAUGUGAUCUCGGAUUGCCGGAAGAAGAACAUUUAGACCAGAGAUUAAUUUGAAAAUUUUUG